rnacentral:lncRNA from 1 species
CUUGCCUGGCUCAUGAAGAUCCAGACGGGGCUCAGCCUUCAGACCAAUGGCGAGGGCUCACUGCUGACUUUGGCAAGAGCCCCUUUGGAGGAGGGCUGGGGUGCAAGCCUGACCAGAGGGACUCCCAGAGCAGGAGGGAGGCAAGGAUCUGGAGAAUUGGUGCCUCAUCCAGGGUUGUCUGGAUCAGAGAAUGCCAGGGUCAGAUGGGACCUCAAAAGGCCACCAUCAGGCCUCCAGUCUCACCCCUCCCAGCUGUCCUCGUGGUAGCCAGAGUGACCACCCACGACCCAGGCUGGAGCAUACUCCUCUCCUGCUUAAAACCAGGUGAGCCUAUAAUUUAUCGCCCAAACAGGGAUACGUUAGAGGGCAA